UAAGGAAUAUUGGUCAAUGGACGAGAGUCUGAACCAGCCAUGCCGCGUGGAGGAUGAAGGUCCUCUGGAUUGUAAACUUCUUUUAUAUGGGACGAAAAAAGGUCUUUCUAGAUCAACUGACGGUACCAUAUGAAUAAGCACCGGCUAACUCCGUGCCAGCAGCCGCGGUAAUACGGAGGGUGCAAGCGUUAUCCGGAUUCACUGGGUUUAAAGGGUGCGUAGGUGGGUUGGUAAGUCAGUGGUGAAAUCCCCGAGCUUAACUUGGGAACUGCCAUUGAUACUAUCAGUCUUGAAUACCGUGGAGGUCGGCGGAAUAUGUCAUGUAGCGGUGAAAUGCUUAGAUAUGACAUAGAACACCAAUUGCGAAGGCAGCUGACUACGCGAGUAUUGACACUGAGGCACGAAAGCGUGGGGAUCAAACAGG
rnacentral:rRNA from 1 species